rnacentral:rRNA from 1 species
CCGGCUAACUCCGUGCCAGCAGCCGCGGUAAUACGAAGGGUGCAAGCGUUACUCGGAAUUACUGGGCGUAAAGGGUGCGUAGGUGGUCGUUUAAGUCCGUUGUGAAAUCCCUGGGCUCAACCUGGGAAUGGCAGUGGAUACUGGAUGGCUAGAAUGCGGUAGAGGGUAGUGGAAUUCCCGGUGUAGCAGUGAAAUGCGUAGAGAUCGGGAGGAACACCAGUGGCGAAGGCGGCUACCUGGACCAGCAUUGACACUCAAGCACGAAAGCGUGGGGAGCAAACAGGAUUAGAUANCCCUGGUAGUCCACGCCCUAAACGAUGCGAACUGGACGUUGGGAGCAACUUGGCUCUCAGUGUCGAAGCUAACGCGUUAAGUUCGCCGCCUGGGGAGUACGGUCGCAAGACUGAAACUCAAAGGAAUUGACGGGGGCCCGCACAAGCGGUGGAGUAUGUGGUUUAAUUCGAUGCAACGCGAAGAACCUUACCUGGUCUUGACAUGUCCGGAACCUUGCAGAGAUGCGAGGGUGCCUUCGGGAAUCGGAACACAGGUGCUGCA